rnacentral:rRNA from 1 species
AGAUUGAACGCUGGCGGCAUGCCUAACACAUGCAAGUCGAACGGGAGUAGCAAUACUCUAGUGGCGGACGGGUGAGGAAUACGUAGGAAUUUGCCCUUAAGUGGGGGAUAACCCGGGGAAACCCGGAUUAAUACCGCAUGACCUCGAAAGAGCAAAGUGGGGGAUCGCAAGACCUCACGCUUUUGGAGAAGCCUACGUCGGAUUAGCUAGUUGGUGAGGUAAUGGCUCACCAAGGCGACGAUCCGUAACUGGUCUGAGAGGAUGAUCAGUCACACCGGAACUGAGACACGGUCCGGACUCCUACGGGAGGCAGCAGUGGGGAAUAUUGGACAAUGGGCGCAAGCCUGAUCCAGCAAUGCCGCGUGUGUGAAGAAGGCCUUCGGUUGUAAAGCGACUUUAAGUUGGGAAGAAAAAACGUACGACUCUAACACCAAGUGAGUCUUGACGGUACCGACGAGAAUAAGCACCGGCUAACUCUAGUGUCCACGUACACGCCGACGGUAAUCGUAGACGGCGGCGUCGA